rnacentral:rRNA from 1 species
UACGUAGGGGGCAAGCGUUGUCCGGAUUUAUUGGGCGUAAAGCGCACGCAGGCGGUCUCUUACAUCUUGAGUGACAGGUCCCGGCUCAACUGGGGCAGUACUUGGGAAAUGGGGAGACUUGAGGGCUUCAGAGGGGCGCGGAAUUCCAGGUGGAGCGGUGAAAUGCGUAGAGAUCUGGAAGAACACCGACGGCGAAGGCAGCGUCCUGGGAAGAACCUGACGCUCAGGUGCGAAAGCUAGGGGAG